rnacentral:rRNA from 1 species
AGAGUUUGAUCCUGGCUCAGGAUGAACGCUGACAGAAUGCUUAACACAUGCAAGUCGACUCGAGUCUUCGGACUUGGGUGGCGCACGGGUGAGUAACGCGUAAAGAACUUGCCUCUUAGACUGGGACAACAUCUGGAAACGGAUGCUAAUACCGGAUAUUAUGGUUUUUUCGCAUGGAGGAAUCAUGAAAGCUAGAUGCGCUAAGAGAGAGCUUUGCGUCCCAUUAGCUAGUUGGUGAGGUAACGGCCCACCAAGGCAAUGAUGGGUAGCCGGCCUGAGAGGGUGAACGGCCACAAGGGGACUGAGACACGGCCCUUACUCCUACGGGAGGCAGCAGUGGGGAAUAUUGGACAAUGGACCGCAAGUCUGAUCCAGCAAUUCUGUGUGCACGAUGACGUUUUUCGGAAUGUAAAGUGCUUUCAGUCGGGAAGAAGUCAGUGACGGUACCGACAGAAGAAGCGACGGCUAAAUACGUGCCAGCAGCCGCGGUAAUACGUAUGUCGCAAGCGUUAUCCGGAUUUAUUGGGCGUAAAGCGCGUCUAGGCGGCAAGGAAAGUCUGAUGUGAAAAUGCGGAGCUCAACUCCGUAUGGCGUUGGAAACUGCCUUACUAGAGUACUGGAGAGGUAGGCGGAACUACAAGUGUAGAGGUGAAAUUCGUAGAUAUUUGUAGGAAUGCCGAUGGGGAAGCCAGCCUACUGGACAGAUACUGACGCUAAAGCGCGAAAGCGUGGGUAGCAAACAGGAUUAGAUACCCUGGUAGUCCACGCUGUAAACGAUGAUUACUAGGUGUUGGGGGUCAAACCUCAGCGCCCAAGCUAACGCGAUAAGUAAUCCGCCUGGGGAGUACGUACGCAAGUAUGAAACUCAAAGGAAUUGACGGA